rnacentral:rRNA from 1 species
ACGAACGCUGGCGGCGUGCCUAAUACAUGCAAGUUGCGCGAUGAAGAUUGGUGCUUGCCCCAAUUUGAAGAGCAGCGAACGGGUGAGUAACGCGUGGGGAAUCUGCCUUUGAGCGGGGGACAACAUUUGGAAACGAAUGCUAAUACCGCAUAACAACUUUAAACAUAAGUUUUAAGUUUGAAAGAUGCAAUUGCAUCACUCAAAGAUGAUCCCGCGUUGUAUUAGCUAGUUGGUGAGGUAAAGGCUCACCAAGGCGAUGAUACAUAGCCGACCUGAGAGGGUGAUCGGCCACAUUGGGACUGAGACACGGCCCAAACUCCUACGGGAGGCAGCAGUAGGGAAUCUUCGGCAAUGGACGAAAGUCUGACCGAGCAACGCCGCGUGAGUGAAGAAGGUUUUCGGAUCGUAAAACUCUGUUGGUAGAGAAGAACGUUGGUGAGAGUGGAAAGCUCAUCAAGUGACGGUAACUACCCAGAAAGGGACGGCUAACUACGUG